AUUGAACGCUGGCGGCAGGCCUAACACAUGCAAGUCGAACGAGUGGCGGACGGGUGAGUAAUGUCUGGGAAACUGCCUGAUGGAGGGGGAUAACUACUGGAAACGGUAGCUAAUACCGCAUACCAUCAGAUGUGCCCAGCGGGGAUUCGCUUGUAGGUGGGGUAACGGUUCACCCAGGCGACGAUCCCUAGCUGGUCUGAGAGGAUGACCAGACAAUCGGGAACUGAGAAACGGUCCAGACUCCUACGGGAGGCAGCAGUGGGGAAUAUUGCACAAUGGGCGCUAGCCUGAUGCAGCCAUGCCGCGUGUAUGAAGAAGGCCUUCGGGUUGUAAAGUACGUGCAGCGGGGAGGCGUUACCCGCAGAAGAAGCACCGGCUAACUCCGUGCCAGCCGCCGCGGUAAUAC
rnacentral:rRNA from 1 species